rnacentral:rRNA from 1 species
UUAGAUACCCAGGUAGNNCACGCCCUAAGCGAUGUCAACUAGUUGUUGGGGAUUCAUUUCCUUAGUAACGUAGCUAACGCGUGAAGUUGGCCGCCUGGGGAGUACGGUCGCAAGAUUAAAACUCAAAGGAAUUGACGGGGACCCGCACAAGCGGUGGAUGAUGUGGAUUAAUUCGAUGCAACGCGAAAAACCUUACCUACCCUUGACAUGGUCGGAAUCCUGCUGAGAGGUGGGAGUGCUCGAAAGAGAACCGGCGCACAGGUGCUGCAUGUCUGUCGUCAGCUCGUGUCGUGAGAUGUUGGGUUAAGUCCCGCAACGAGCGCAACCCUUGUCCUUAGUUGCUACGCAAGAGCACUCUAAGGAGACUGCCGGUGACAAACCGGAGGAAGGUGGGGAUGACGUCAAGUCCUCAUGGCCCUUAUGGGUAGGGCUUCACACGUCAUACAAUGGUCGGAACAGAGGGUUGCCAACCCGCGAGGGGGAGCUAAUCCCAGAAAACCGAUCGUAGUCCGGAUUGCACUCUGCAACUCGAGUGCAUGAAGCUGGAAUCGCUAGUAAUCGCGGAUCAGCAUGCCGCGGUGAAUACGUUCCCGGGUCUUGUACACACCGCCCGUCACACCAUGGGAGUGGGUUUUACCAGAAGUGGCUAGUCUAACCGCAAGGAGGACGGUCANCACGGUAGGAUCAUGGGG